rnacentral:rRNA from 1 species
UACAGAGGGGGCAAGCGUUGUUCGGAAUUACUGGGCGUAAAGGGCGCGUAGGCGGCCAACUAAGUCGGAUGUGAAAUCCCCAGGCUUAACCUGGGAACUGCAUCCGAUACUGGAUGGCUUGAAUCCGGGAAAGGGAUGCAGAAUUCCAGGUGUAGCGGUGAAAUGCGUAGAUAUCUGGAGGAAUACCGGUGGCGAAGGCGGCAUCCUGGACCGGCAUUGACGCUGAUGAGCGAAAGCUAGGGGAGCAAACGGG